CACAUUAUGGACAUGCUUAAUGAGAAGAUGGUCGGAUGGUGGGUGAAGCUCUUCGCGAUCCACAUGCUCAUGCUCGCCAGCUUGAGUGGAUUCUGUGGAUGGACAGCGACGCCAUCUUCACGAACAUGACAUUCGCACUCCCACUUGAGAAAUACAAGGAUCACAACAUGGUAGUCCAGGGGUGGGACAAUGAGCUGUACGACCUCAAGAAUUGGGUGGGACUCAACACAGGUCCGUCGAAAUCUGUUAACAGUUGUCUGAGUGUAAAUUGAGUACUUACAAUCAAUUGAUUAUACUCCUCACAUGUUCGUUUAUUGCCAUGGAAUAGGAGUCAUCCUUCUCCGGAAUUGCCACUGGUCCAUCGACCUUCUCCAUGAAUGGGUGAAAUUUAGCCCCAAAGGUCGAGUGGGGGAAGCUGCCUGAGCCCUGCUGACGGAGGCAUUUCCGGACAGGCCACUCGUCGAUGCAGAGGAUCAAUGAGCCUUAGUCUACUUGCUCAUAACGUAGAGGUACAUGAUCUUACGGACCAUUCGAUUUAUAAACAAGCUAAAUUAGACACUAGAGAAU
rnacentral:lncRNA from 1 species